rnacentral:rRNA from 1 species
GGAAGGGGUGUAUUUAUUAGAUAAAAAACCAAUGCCCUUUGGGCUCUUUGGUGAUUCAUGAUAACUUAACGGAUCGCAUGGCCUUGCGCCGGCGACGGUUCAUUCAAAUUUCUGCCCUAUCAACUUUCGAUGGUAAGGUAUUGGCUUACCAUGGUUUCAACGGGUAACGGGGAAUUAGGGUUCGAUUCCGGAGAGGGAGCCUGAGAAACGGCUACCACAUCCAAGGAAGGCAGCAGGCGCGCAAAUUACCCAAUCCCGACACGGGGAGGUAGUGACAAUAAAUACUGAUACAGGGCUCUUUUGGGUCUUGUAAUCGGAAUGAGUACAAUUUAAACCUCUUAACGAGGAACAAUUGGAGGGCAAGUCUGGUGCCAGCAGCCGCGGUAAUUCCAGCUCCAAUAGCGUAUAUUAAAGUUGUUGCAGUUAAAAAGCUCGUAGUUGAAUCUUGGGCCUGGCUGGCCGGUCCGCCUCACCGCGUGUACUGGUCUGGCCGGGCCUUUCCUUCUGGAGAACCUCAUGCCCUUCAGUGGGUGUGUUGGGGAACCAGGACUUUUAC